CCCUUAAUGACGGAGCUUCAGUUGGAACUUGAAUCGCGUCUCGCCCGCAAGAUGGCACACCAAUCAUGACCAGUGGAGCGGAGGGAGUGGCUGUGGAAAGACGUCCAUGAUUUCGCCACAGUGAGUUUCCUAUCAUUUAUCGUUUCCCGGUACUGCUAGAAGAUGUCUCAGCAUGUCUUCUUGUCUGCCACGCGCCACAAUAAGAGUCCCAGGAAAAUCUCACUGUCGGGUUCACCACACUCUCCCCCACACUCAAAGGUUUACUCUUUCCCAGGAAGUUGAAGGGCAUGGUGAUGAGCGCCCCCGCCACACACAUUGUCAUCCGCAGCCACCCCAGCCGGUCCACACGAAACGACUUGAUUACACCAAAAAUAUACAUAUAAAAGUUGACGGCUCCAACAAACGCUGCAAUCACAUUGAUG